AAAGACACAUACAGACACAUUCCGAAUUUGGGACUUGAUUGAUUAUGACUGCCCUUGUGAAAGAAAGAACAGAGAAAACAAGACCCAGACCCAUGAGGUGUUGAACAUUUCUGAUGAGGAAUCGGGUACCUUCAACAUUGUGUUACUGGGAAGUGUACUCCUGAGCAGCUGAAACAAUAUUUGGUGAAGAUUUAAUAGACUUUAUUGUGACACCUGAAUAUCAUACACUGAGUCAAAGCCACCUUAAGCACUUUUUCCUCCAUCUAUAUAUUACAGAGAAGACAACUGGAAAAAAGCACUGAAGAAUGAUCAUUCUAGCACACUUUUUUGUAUCGCAACAUGAACAGCAUCGGUGGUAGCCAUCAACUACUUUUCUUGCUCUG